rnacentral:rRNA from 1 species
GCUUAUGACCACACCGGCCUGAGUACGCCUGAUCUCAUCUGAUCUCGGAAGCUAAGCAGGGUCGGGCCUGGUUAGUACUUGGAUGGGAGACUACCUGGGAAUACCAGGUGCUGUAAGCU